rnacentral:rRNA from 4 species
UCUGGUGGCAAUACCGGGAAGGAUACACCCGAUCCCAUUUCGAACUCGGAAGUUAAGCUUUCCAGGGCCAAUGGUACUAGCAUCGGACGGUGCUGGGAGAGUAGGUCGUUGCCAGAU